CGCGGCCUAUCAGCUUGUUGGUGAGGUAACGGCUCACCAAGGCAUCGACGGGUAGCUGGUCUGAGAGGACGAUCAGCCACACUGGGACUGAGAUACGGCCCAGACUCCUACGGGAGGCAGCAGUGGGGAAUAUUGCGCAAUGGGCGAAAGCCUGACGCAGCAACGCCGCGUGUGGGAUGACAACUUUCGGGUUGUAAACCACUUUCAGUGACGACGAAAAUGACGGUAGUCACAGAAGAAGGUCCGGCCAACUACGUGCCAGCAGCCGCGGUAACACGUAGGGACCAAGCGUUGUCCGGAUUUAUUGGGCGUAAAGAGCUCGUAGGCGGUUCCGUAAGUCGGAUGUGAAAACUCAGGGCUCAACCCUGAGACGCCAUCUGAUACUGCGGUGACUAGAGUCCGGUAGGGGAGCAUGGAAUUCCUGGUGUAGCGGUGGAAUGCGCAGAUAUCAGGAGGAACACCAAUGGCGAAGGCAGUGCUCUGGGCCGGAACUGACGCUGAGGGGCGAAAGCAUGGGGAGCAAACAGGAUUAGAUACCCUGGUAGUCCAUGCCGUAAACGUUGGGCACUAGGUGUGGGAUCUUCUAACGGAUUCCGUGCCGUAGCUAACGCAUUAAGUGCCCCGCCUGGGGAGUACGG
rnacentral:rRNA from 1 species